GGGCGCGUAGCUCAGCGGAAGAGCACCGUCUUCACAUGGCGGGGGUCGCUGGGUCAAACCCAGCCGCGCCCACCA
rnacentral:tRNA from 1 species